UCCUCCCUGAGUGUGUUUGGUUGCUAUGGAGAUAGCAGCACGCUGGAACUGUGGGAGGCAGGAUGAAGAUCUUGCAACACUUUCCCUAAUCCACACAGAGCAUUAACUUUUGCUUUUUCAGUGGCCACUUUCUGCUGCUGCCGCCGCCAUGCGAGACCCUCUGAAACAGCUUUGACUUUGUGGCCUGGCUCCCUGGUGUGACCUUAGACAAACAAUGGAAAUCGCUGCACACAACAUUCUGCCACCAACAUCUGCACGAAUACUUAAUGCAUCCUGUCUCAGAAUCACUGCAGUAUCCUCUCCACUUUUCACCUGCUCCUGGCUUACCUGAGCAUCAAAACCACCUGAUCGCAUGCUUCCCCUGUAAGAUUGGGCAAGACUUAAUGUUAUUAACACAAAAUUCUUAGGAUUGUACUUAAGUACUGUGUCCUGGAUCUCAGUGUGCCCCCUCAGCCUGAAAUGUGUACAGGCAAUCUUGAUGUCCUACUAAAGAGCCAGUCACAUGAGAGAUGGGUUUCCCCCUACCCUUUACCUCUGGCUCUGCUGCUAGAUUUAGCAGCAAGUAUCAGGUGGUGGCUGGGGUAUGGAAAAUAUGGCCCUGAAAGGUAGCUUCCUUAGCCUUCCACAAGAAGUAAAGAGGUCUUUCUCAAAGGAACACAUUGGUUGCUAAGCAUGUUAAGCAUUUUAAGCUAUUCCUGGGUGCAACUUUUAUUAAUAAAAAAAAAACUACCAUUUGUUUCA